GGAGGAGGAUGUUAAGUUCUACCUGGCUGAGCUGGCCUUGGCUCUGGACCACCUCCACGGCCUAGGGAUCAUCUACAGGGAUCUGAAGCCUGAAAAUAUCCUCCUGGAUGAAGAGGGACAUAUUAAGAUCACAGAUUUUGGCUUGAGCAAGGAGGCCAUCGACCAUGACAAGAGAGCCUAUUCAUUUUGUGGGACUAUUGAAUACAUGGCGCCCGAGGUGGUGAACCGGCGUGGACACACACAGAGUGCUGACUGGUGGUCCUUUGGUGUGCUCAUGUUCGAGAUGCUCACAGGAUCCCUGCCGUUUCAGGGGAAGGACAGGAAGGAAACAAUGGCCCUCAUCCUCAA
rnacentral:lncRNA from 1 species